CUUUAAAAAGAAUUUAAUAUCAAUUGGUCCCGAUCACGUGAUCGGGAUGCGGCGCACAUGCGCAGAUCGUCUUUUGUGCUGAACACUUCCUGAUAUAGACGGAGUGCUCGGUGGCCGACUGGGAGACACAGUGCUUCAUGGGAAACGAAGUCCUGCCGGUCACCGAGCUCUCCUGAAGUUAGAUACAUAACAAAGGGCAAUUUUUUUUGCAAUAUAAAAGAGAAAAAAAAAAAAAAGGCAUUUAAAAG